GGAUGAACGCUGGCGGCGUGCCUAAUACAUGCACGUCGAGCGAACAGACGAGGAGCUUGCUCCUCUGACGUUAGCGGCGGACGGGUGAGUAACACGUGGAUAACCUACCUUUAAGACUGGGAUAACUUCGGGAAACCGGAGCUAAUACCGGAUAAUAUAUUGAACCGCAUGGUUCAAUAGUGAAAGACGGUUUUGCUGUCACUUAUAGAUGGAUCCGCGCCGCAUUAGCUAGUUGGUAAGGUAACGGCUUACCAAGGCAACGAUGCGUAGCCGACCUGAGAGGGUGAUCGGCCACACUGGAACUGAGACACGGUCCAGACUCCUACGGGAGGCAGCAGUAGGGAAUCUUCCGCAAUGGGCGAAAGCCUGACGGAGCAACGCCGCGUGAGUGAUGAAGGUCUUCGGAUCGUAAAACUCUGUUAUUAGGGAAGAACAAAUGUGUAAGUAACUAUGCACGUCUUGACGGUACCUAAUCAGAAAGCCACGGCUAACUACGUG
rnacentral:rRNA from 1 species